UACGAAGGGGGCUAGCGUUGCUCGGAAUCACUGGGCGUAAAGCGCACGUAGGCGGCUUCUUAAGUCAGGGGUGAAAUCCUGGAGCUCAACUCCAGAACUGCCUUUGAUACUGAGGAGCUUGAGUCCGGGAGAGGUGAGUGGAACUGCGAGUGUAGAGGUGAAAUUCGUAGAUAUUCGCAAGAACACCAGUGGCGAAGGAGGCUCACUGGCCCGGUACUGACGCUGAGGUGCGAAAGCGUGGGGAGCAAACAGG
rnacentral:rRNA from 1 species